rnacentral:rRNA from 1 species
UACGGAGGAUGCGAGCGCUAUCCGGAUUUAUUGGGUUUAAAGGGUGCGUAGGCGGGCUUUUAAGUCAGCGGUAAAAAUUCGGGGCUCAACCCCGUCCGGCCGUUGAAACUGGGGGUCUUGAGUGGGCGAGAAGAAGGCGGAAUGCGUGGUGUAGCGGUGAAACGCAUAGAUAUCACGCAGAACCCCGAUUGCGAAGGCAGCCUUCCGGCGCCCUACUGACGCUAAGGCACGAAAGUGCGGGGAUCGAACAGG